AAGAGCAUUUAGCAGAAGGCCGACCUGUGGCUUGUCCAGUAACGGGUUGUAAAAAUACUUUUACAAUUAAAUCGUCUUUUACAGCCCACAUGUCAAGAAAGCAUAGAGCUGCUUCAAAUGAUUCUAUAAGUGACAUUUACAGGGAAACUGUUUCUCAGUCGUCCACUGUCAUUGAAUGUGAUGUUUCAAAUGAUGUAACAACACCUGAAACUACAGAAUUGCCCCAAAUUUCUAGUGAGUCGUUCCUUAGGAAUAUGUGUUUAUUAUACUUAAAACUGCAAGGACAGCUCCUCCUUCCAGCUUCAACAAUUCAGACGAUUGUUGAAGAGAUGCAAAAUGUGCAUGAGUUGGGACAAGAUUACACUUUAAUUAAACUGCAUUCCCUUUUAAAAAAUGAGAUGGAUCUAGCAGAUGAAGUUGUUAGUAAAGUCUGUGACUGUGUAAAGGAUUCAGAUCUGUUCUCUUUCUGUCAUCAAGGACCACUGAGAACAACAUAUUCAAGAAGUCAGACAUUCAAACAGAUGUUCAAAUACAUAGAGCCUAAAAAGGUAACAUUGGGAAAUGAUGAAAAUAUGACAAAGAAGUUUGCAUAUUACAUACCUGUGAAACAAACAUUGAGUAGCUUAUUGGAAUCGGAAUUAUGGAAGAAUUCGCUGUGUCAGCCAUCUUGUGAAAUAGACUCGGAUAAUUUUGCUGACAUUAGUGAUGGCAAAAUCUUUAAGUCCAACCAGUUCUUUCUUGAAAAUCCAGAAUGUCUGAAACUAAUUAUUUACCAGGAUGCGUUUGAAAUUGUCAAUCCACUUGGAUCUGCUAAAAAAAAGCACAAAGUAGUUGCAGUCUACCUCUCUUUGGGUAAUUUACCUGCUCAUGUGCGGUCCAAUACUGAUCACAUGUUUCUCGCCUUGUUGUGUGGAGAGAACGACCUAAAGAAAUUUGGAAGUGCUAAGGUUUUCUCAGAGCUGUUAGUGGAUUUAAAAGAUUUGGAGGAAAAUGGAAUAGCUGUAGGUGGUAAAGUAGUCAAAGGUGCACUGUAUUGUAUUGCUGGGGAUAAUUUGGGUUCACACGCCAUUGGUGGGUUUACUGAAAAUUUCAGUCGUGCUCAGUAUUUUUGCAGGUAUUGUGAAAUCACAAGAAAUGAGUUUCAGAGUGAUAACCCAAAUGUUUGUGGUCCACAGCGCACCCCUGAAACGUAUGAUUCUGCUGUUCAUGAUUUACAAUCUGAAGACCGUCAAGACAUCAAAGGAAUAAAGGCCAAUCCUGCUUUUCGUCGAAGCGUUUCAUGCUGUGUGUGGAUCAAAAUAUUGUACAUGACAACAUCCCCUCCUUCAUUUCCGCCCUGUGCAUGAUGUUUGGAAGCUAUUAUUGCUUUAACAUCCAUUACCCAUCAGAGCUGGCAUCAACCUUGGAGUUUUUGCAGAGGUGUUUCUUCUCUAUCAACCCAGAGAAAGGCACUAAAGUGGAGGAGACAAACACAGCCCGACUUCAUGUGAACCCAAGAGUUCUUACCUUGAUUCAGGCGCUUUCAGAUCAUGAAUGGCGUGACGUCUAAAUAUGGACUGAAGUCAGUAAGAUUUGACAAACAGUGAAUGCCAGUUUCUCAGGUUUAUUUGAUCUGCCAUGCUUAAUGUAUGUGUUAAGUUUGUACACAACUGUUAAGAGUUUUUAUUGCUCUAGUGUUUUCUGAAUUAGGUUAUUUCUGAAUUGCUUGUUUGUAUGGAAUAUUUGUUUAUAAAACAACUCUUAAAUGUUCUUAAACCGAUUUAAGAGAAAAGUCAGUAACAUUUUAUAAUAACUACACACUAUAAAUAAUUUAUUAAGCAUUAGCAUAUAGUGAAUUCAUUAACUGUUGAGCACUAACUCUAAAUUAAUAAACAUUAUUUGGCAGUUUAUAACAACUGCUAAAAUGCUGUAUUCUUGAUUUAAAAACACGUGUAAUGUGCCUAAUAAUUGUGUUUUCAUACUUUGUUAAUGAUUCUUUUUUCAUUACUGAAUUAAGUACUGCAUUAUUUACAAACCAGUUGUAUUUUAGAGUAUUUCAGGGUUUUUAGGAUCAUUUAGAAUGAAUUGGUAAAUGGUUAAUAAACUAUUCAAAUCAACAUUUAUAAUUCUUAUUAUUCAGGCAUAUAUUAAUAGUUAAUUUGUAUGUUAUUUAAUUCUUUAUUAACUCAACUUUAUCCUCACUAAUCCAAAGUGAGGACUAUGCUUUAUAAAUCC